GGAGAGAUGGCCGAGUGGUUUAUGGCUCCGGUCU
rnacentral:tRNA from 1 species